rnacentral:rRNA from 1 species
UUUAAAUAGCUGCAGUAUUUUAACUGUACAAAGGUAGCGUAGUCGUUAGUCUUUUAAUUGAGGUCUAGUAUGAAGGGUUUGACAAGAAAAAAUCUUUAUUAAUUUAAGUCCAUGAAUUUUAUUUUUUAGUUAAAAAGCUAAAAUUGAGAAAUGGGACGAUAAGACCCUAUAGAUCUUGAAAUUUUUAUUUUAGGGGGUUAUUAAAGUUAAUUUAAAUUUUAUAAAAUAAAAUUUUUUGUUGGGGUGACAGAUAAAUUUUUAAAACUUUAUUACUUUCAUUCAUGGGUAAAUGAAUCAAAAUGAACCUAAACUUAGGGUCGUUAAAAUAAGAUACCUUAGGGAUAACAGCGUAAUAAAUUUGUAUAGUUCUUAUAGAUAAAUUUGUUUACGACCUCGAUGUUGAAUUAAUUAAAAGUUUUGGGGCAGAAAUUAAAAUUUUGGGUCUGUUCGACCUUUAAAUGAUUACA